CUCCUUGUCACCUCGCUGCUGCUGAUGCGCAGCCCCUCUGCCGAGCAGCGGCAGCCCAAGGUGCGGGGGGACGCCUGGCUCCCCUCCGUGUCCCUAAUGCUGUGCCCGGCUGCAGCUCUGUUGGUCGGAGAUUUGCUGAACGAAGAAGGAAAGAAAAAAAAAAAGCAAUUGUGCUUAACACAGAAUAAAUAAAGCAGAUCCUACCAUCCUUUCAUUGCAAGAGCAUGUGGAUCUCUUAGAGCUGUUAGUGGAGCCUAGCCAGACCAGCUGACUGGCAUAUGCAUCCCUUCUGCAUUAGAUUAUCAGUGGACAAACAUGGACAACUGUCUUGGGAACAAGGAUUCCAACAGCUCCAUGGAGAUGGCAUAUACUUACAAAGUGAUGUGACAAAAACAUCAUAAAGAAGUCUGCUUCCAGUCAGAUACAGAGAAAUUUCUGAUAUGUAGCCACCAGCCUCGUGAUGGAUCAGGAUCAUUUUCUGCUUGCAAACAGCAUGGAUGAGUACAUUUUGAGCCUACUUCUCUUCUUAAGAAUGUAUUUUCAGCUUGUUCAGUGUAAUGACUUCCCAGUCCUUGUCAUGCAAGAUAACAGAUAAUAGUAUUUUCAUUAAGAUAUUACUGAUUUUCCUUUAAGAGUACUGAAAAUUUUCUUUAUGAUCUUUUGAAGAAAACCCUAUGGAUUUUUGGUCAAAAGAAGAAACUUGAGAACUUUCAAAUCCACUUCCCAUUAGAAAAUUGAAUGAGUAUGAAAGCUCUAACCAUGAGGCUGCCUGCGGUGUGACUGAUUUUGGUCUAUGCACAUGAUAAUUGGCAGGAUGCGAAGCGCAAACUGAAUAGCCAGGGCAACAGGAGAGCUCGACCAUCCUUAUAGUGGGGAAUGCAGCUAGGAGGUGAGUGGGUAAAUGGAGUAAAUGGGAGGGUUUAUAGACUGUCUUGCCUUGAGACUCUUGGUUUCUGACUGUGGAGGAGUCAGUAGAUUUUUUUGUGGCACACAUCUCUGUCUAAUGAGGCUUUACCCUCAUAUCACCCCUUGGUAGAAAGAAAAAUGCACAAAUCCACAAGCACAGAGAGUUCUGGGUCUGACAGUGCUGGCCAACAGGAGCAACAGCCGGGGGGAACCACCAAGGGCGCAGUGGACGGGAGUGCGUGUGGUAGGUGUUCGGAAGUGAGGAACCUGACGAGGUCUCCGGCCUUCAGUGUCUGAUUUCCCAUUGAUCAUUACUGGAUAAAAUGAGCCUCUGCACCACAAAACAGCUGGCUCCAAUGCACUCAAUGCUGUUUUUAAAGGCUCAGCUCCUCACAACUUUCCUUCCUGCCAAACACAGCAAUAAUAACAAUAAGUAUUGUUAAUAAUAACAAUAAGCAGCUUUAGCUUAAUAUAAAGCUUUAAAAGCAUCUAAACUACAGCGAUGUGUUCCAGUAAUUUCAGAAGAUCUGCCUCGAAAAUGCAGCUUGCCAGUUUCUGGGUUCAGAUGCCUGACUUGUUUUCUCUGAAUUGCAUGUGAGAGAGAUACCAGGGUGCGUAUGCCGCCUCUCCUGCAUCCUGGAUCUGUGAGAGAAACGUACCCAAACGUUACGGGAGCCACGGAGCACCCUAGCAAGUCCCCCUAGUCUGCACGACUGGCACACUGAGACACAUCAUGGGAAACACCUGCCUGCCUGCUGGAUGUGGCUUGAUUCGCUGUAGCGUGGUUUUCCGAUCAGUCCUAAUCUUUUUUAGGCAGCAAUAAUUGCAUUAGUUCAGGUUAUGUCAUGUCUGAGGGUGCAGUUGUCUGAACUUGUUGCUGCAUUAUGCACCUUACUGGGCCAUCAGCUUGCUGACGCUCACAUCCCUCCUUCCUGGAAUAUAGAGAAAGACGGUUUAUAAAAUAGGUACGCUUUCAUUACUAAGCAAAAGACAACUAGGGACUGAGCUCAAGCACUGAAACCCAGUUUGUCCACACAGCUUAACCACUAGCUCAGAUCAGUUCCCGUUCUUUUUUGGCCAGCAGUAGAGGCACAGUCAAUUACUGUCUGCAGAGUUGCCUCUGACUAUUUUCAUUGGAGGUUAGGAAAAAUCUCUUUUUUUCUGUUUUUGUCAUUAUUCUGUAUGUACUCUGGCUGUAAAAUCUGGCCCGAUUCACUUUUGUUCAAUCUUCUAUAUUGUGCCUGCAGCUAUUUUUACAGGUUUAUACUCAAUUUCUAUAUCAUACAUAAGUAACUGAAAAAAAUCCUCUUUGUAUUCUUGGAGAUAUUCUCCAUGUCUUUUUUAACUUCCCUAUCAAUCAGUUUCAUUUAUCUGUGGACUUCCAAGACAAAAUCACAAAAAUAUAUAGAAUAUAAGACCAUAAGCCAAAUUAUUCCUUCUUUUGAGCACCAAGUUUUUGUUAGGACAUGCAUGAGCCACUGAGUGCCACUUUUGCCUAUCCUGCUAUUUGAGGACUACACCGAAUCACUCCCAGUGAAGAUACCUAUGGACAACGUAGGAGUGAGGCUCUUGUAUUAAAUUUUGUUACUUUCCCAAAGUCUGUUUUAAGUUUUGUGUCUCAUUCCCAACUUCACAUGGUAAUGGGCUCAGGCUAUGAGCUUAUUUCAAGAAAUCUUUGAAUCCGUUCCUCAUCAGCCAAGUAGACCAUGGUGGCUUUGACCUUACUGUGGUUCAUUUUCUUUCCUCCAAGUGUUAUUCCUAUAUGAAAUAAUUUCUAUUUUGUUUAUUAUGGUAUGUUUAUUUUCCUUUGCAUAGCAUCUCUGGCUCUUUCUGAAACUGCUCAGAUUCUUUGGUUAUGUUCCUCAAUUAUAUUUCUUUAGAUAAAAAAUGCCAUUUACAUAGACUUUAGCACUCUCCUUACCACCAAAAUGUUUGCUCUAUUUUCCUUGAAAAAAAUUUGUUACAAAAUACAAGCAGAUGAUGGUUUAUUUUUCCAAAAGAAAAUAACAAUACAGAGAAACAUGCUGUUGUGUCUCUAAGAGCAGAAAGUUAUUUCACAUCAACCAUAUGUCUAAAAAAUUCACUUUGGAGAGAGCAUAUUCUCUCUCUUUUUUUUUUUAACAUGUAUUUAUUAUUCUGUGUCUCUACAAGUGAAUGUGUCUCUAAUUUCUUUCCAUGGUGGUGCUUUUUUGGUUUGUCUACUUAUUGUGUGAUUUCUAAAGAGAAUCUUCACUGUUCUAGCAGAGAAGGAACUCUCCCAGUGUCUAGUCUGCAAACUCAGAUUUGAUUAUAUGCAGUAGGGAUUUCACUUUAUUUUUGACACCAGAUUGGUGGGAGCUUUCUCCAGUAGCAUAACAAAUGGUCUUGCUUUCCACAUGUAUGAUUUGCAUUUAUUGUAUAAUUCUCUCAAUGGGUAUAAAUCCCCCCUUGUAAGAUGCCUGAAUUGUAGCCAUUCUAUUUCUUCAGCUUGGACUUUUCCUUGGAAUUUUCUUCAUCAUUGUCUCUGACUUCAUAUUAGCCUGUGCAUCUGUGUCCAGCUACAAUUCAUGCUAUUUUGUUUGCUUUCAUGAACUAUUCAUAUUCUGCUGCAACAUGAGUGAAUGGUCAUUUAGGCUAAUACUGCUGUUGCCUUCUUGUCAAUGCAAUGAAUGUCCUGUUGGCAUUUGUACAGUGUUGCAAAAUAAUCCAAUUCUUGCAUUUUCCUUAAGCACUAGAAAUUUUCUUGGCUUAUUGGCCAGCAUGUGUUUAGCAUCUUAUGUUUUUUUUGUAGACUAUGAUCUGAUGUGAAUGCACAGGGUUUGAUUCUCUCCACCCUUCAUACUUCCUCACACUACACCAGGUGGCUUUGCACCUUCAGGUGUGUCCACAUAUGCCUUGAAAGCAUACUUCUGGCAUACAUUAUAUCUCUUGAAUUCACUGCUAUAAGAGCACCACUUUGGUGGGCUGUAACAUAACCCUCAUAUUAAGCCAAAGAUCUUAAACAGAAGAAAACUCCACAAAAAUAGCACUUGUGUUUUAGAGCCAUAGGGACACUCAGGGGGGCAGGAGUAACGUAGGGCUGUGUGACAAGCUAAAGUCGAAAAGUGGGUGUAUAAGCUACUUGUGGUAUUCACACUAUGUUGCACUAGACACUUCGGACUAAUACAUUUAACAGUGUAGCUUAUUUAACAUCCUAUGAGCUGAUGGAGUUUUUGAAGCGUUUGAGUUCAGCUGCCUGGCAAUCCACCUGGUAGCCUAUCGGCAGGGUAAGCAAAGUGACAGGAAACCAAACAAACAGCUUCUGGAUGGAAACUUUGAGAAUUGGCUGAUUCUGAAGCCCAGGCCUGCACCUUCACGACUUCAGCAACUUCUCUUCAUUUCUGAGAAGUAUUUCACUUUUGGGUAAUCUCCUUUCUUCAUCCAAAAAAGUUCCACUGGAAAACUUCUAACAAGCUUUAAUCCUAUGAAUGGCUAUAAUUCCAAAGAGGCCUACAUGUAGGCCAGAUUUUUAAUGCUAGGUUUUCUAAAACUAUCAAGUAAAAUGUCAUUUCUGUACCACAGAGAUAGCAAUAGAGUAUAGACAUGAGAUUGAAACAGACAAACUAAAAAGAAGAUUAAAAAAAGUCAUAUAAUAUUAGUUAUGUUAAACUGUGUUCCCAAUCUACCAGAGAGCUAGCUGUCUUUUUUUUUGGGACAUAUUUCGGAUUAAAUUUCUUGCCUUUUCAUUUUGAAGUGAUAUUUUAAUUUAAAAUGAUGACUUCAAUGAAAAUAAAAUCAGGAAAAAGAGAAAAAAAAAGAGG